CUUACCGGGUCCGGACACACUGAGGAUUGACAGGCAAUAUUAAUUUUUAUUCGUAAAAAUUAUGUUAAAUAUGCUAGUCCUUUCAUGAUUAUGUGAUAGGUGGUGCAUGGCCGUUCUUAGUUCGUGGAGUGAUCUGUCUGCUUAAUUGCGUUUCACUAAGGGCCUAUAAAUUUACGUGUGUUGCGGCACUUUGACCCCUCUUUUUAA
rnacentral:rRNA from 1 species